GGCGGCGCUGGAAGUGCGCGGCGUGCGGCCGCCGGACGCGGGAGAGUACUGGCUGCUGGUGCGUUCGCCGCGCGGCCUCGCCGACGCCACGCUGCGGCUCGCAGUCAGCGCCAGCAGCGCGACGACCGCGGCCGCCACCACGGCGCUGGCGGCGCUGCAGCUCGUACACAGGCUGCUGUCGUGAGGCCUGCAGGCACCACCCUGCCGCCUCAGCCACUGCCGCCUCAGUCGGCCUCUACAGUCUCCGCUGGUCCGGCCACCUGCUGCCAGUCGCCAGCUGCCUGGGCGCCGUGCAACCUGGGAGUUACACUUACCGGUAAUCCAAGGAGGAGACUUGACGAAUGCUUCAUAAACCAACAGAAUCGACGUGAUAUCCGGAAUUACAGAAUAAGAAACCACUCGAGAAGUUGAACGAUGCAUGUGACAAUAUUAAUUUUACGUGGUGUGCUUGUAUCUUAUUUGAGAGAUUAGGUAAAACGCCGCAAUAAGCUCAAUGUGUCGCUUCCUGCAUGUUGUACAACGCAGAGCAUUAUUUGUGUGUGCUACUGUCAAUAAA